AUGUAAGGACUGGACCUCUUGUGUUCUGGUUACUGUCAGAUCCCGAGUAAGCACUCAGAAAAUAUAUGUGGGAUAAAUAUGUAAGUGAAGGCCCAUAUGAUGUCAAGAGCUUCCUCCACUUCUGGCCAAACUAAUCCAGUUUGUCCACAGGACCACAUGUUUAGCUCCUUCAACUCGACAGCCAUGCAGAUGGCUGACACUGAUGGGUCUGAUCCAGUGUUCUGAUUCUGAUGAUUAAGUCAAUGUUGCUUCAUCUCCGUCUGUGGACUAUGUACCUCUCUGUUGCUAAACUACCGUAAAAAGUUUUUCUGGAGUGUAUGGAAUGAGGGCACAAAGAGGAUUGGUGCUUGCACUGUGCUGGAGGAUUGAUUCAGGGAGUGGCUGCCUUCAGCAGCGCCUUACACUUCAGCCUCAAGGUGACAUGCAGCAGGCAGUGCAUGCCCUCUGCGGCCUCCUCAGCUACCUCUGUCACUGAGUCCCCACACAGCAGUGCCAUCAGAGCCACGAAGUGCCCAAGCCUUUGGAAUCUCAGUGGAAGCUGGUUAGGAAGAAAAAGAAAAAUACCAUUAGCAUAACAGCCUUCUGAAAUCUGCUUUGGAAGGAAAGAAAAUCAAUGAUGUGCUAUUAAAGAAUUCUGAGGAUGGAGAAGUUGCAUCUGCCUGUAAUAGGGAAGGAUUCCUGGAGAAGAUUAUAAUCUCCAUGAGGGGAGAAACCUUGUCUACAUGGUAAUGGUUGAAUUCCCAGCACCUAGCAUACUGUCAGUCUCAUGGGACAUGAAUGGAUUGGUAAGAAAUACUAUGUUGCUGUUAAAAUAAACUAAGGUAGAAUACCCCCUUCCCCUAACUUCCCUUACCCUUUCCUACUUUUUCUUGUUUCUUUUUUUUUAAACAUUUAUUUUUU